rnacentral:rRNA from 1 species
CAGUAGCCGCGGUAAUACGAAGGGGGCUAGCGUUGUUCGGAUUUACUGGGCGUAAAGCGCACGUAGGCGGAUCGAUCAGUCAGGGGUGAAAUCCCAGAGCUCAACUCUGGAACUGCCUUUGAUACUGUCGAUCUGGAGUAUGGAAGAGGUGAGUGGAAUUCCGAGUGUAGAGGUGAAAUUCGUAGAUAUUCGGAGGAACACCAGUGGCGAAGGCGGCUCACUGGUCCAUUACUGACGCUGAGGUGCGAAAGCGUGGGGAGCAAACAGGAUUAGAGACCCCUGUAGUCCCUGUCUCUUAUAC